rnacentral:rRNA from 1 species
UACGUAGGGUGCAAGCGUUGUCCGGAAUUACUGGGCGUAAAGAGUUCGUAGGCGGUUUGUCACGUCGCUUGUGAAAACUCACAGCUCAACUGUGAGCCUGUAGGCGAUACGGGCAGACUUGAGUACUGCAGGGGAGACUGGAAUUCCUGGUGUAGCGGUGAAAUGCGCAGAUAUCAGGAGGAACACCGGUGGCGAAGGCGGGUCUCUGGGCAGUAACUGACGCUGAGGAACGAAAGCGUGGGUAGCGAACAGG